GACGAACGCUGGCGGCGUGCCUAAUACAUGCAAGUAGAACGCUGAAGGAGGAGCUUGCUUCUCCGGAUGAGUUGCGAACGGGUGAGUAACGCGUAGGUAACCUGCCUGGUAGCGGGGGAUAACUAUUGGAAACGAUAGCUAAUACCGCAUAACAGUAGAUAUUGCAUGAUAUCUGCUUGAAAGGUGCAAUUGCAUCACUACCAGAUGGACCUGCGUUGUAUUAGCUAGUUGGUGAGGUAACGGCUCACCAAGGCGACGAUACAUAGCCGACCUGAGAGGGUGAUCGGCCACACUGGGACUGAGACACGGCCCAGACUCCUACGGGAGGCAGCAGUAGGGAAUCUUCGGCAAUGGACGGAAGUCUGACCGAGCAACGCCGCGUGAGUGAAGAAGGUUUUCGGAUCGUAAAGCUCAGUUGUAAGAGAAGAACGAGUGUGAGAGUGGAAAGUUCACACUGUGACGGUAUCUUACCAGAAAGGGACGGCUAACUACGUG
rnacentral:rRNA from 1 species